rnacentral:rRNA from 1 species
GUUAGGAAUAUUGGACAAUGGGCGAAAGCCUGAUCCAGCCAUGCCGCGUGAACGAUGAAGGCCUUCGGGUUGUAAAGUUCUUUAGCCGAUGAUUAUAAUGACUGUAGUCGGAAAAUAAGCCCCGGCUAACUUCGUGCCAGCAGCCGCGGUAAUACGAAGGGGGCGAGCGUUAUUCGGAAUCACUGGGCGUAAGGCGUGCGUAGGCGGUUUUGUAAGUUAGGAGUGAAAGCCCAGGGCUCAACCUUGGAAUUGCUCUUAAAACUGCAAGGCUCGAAUCUCGGAGAGGAUAGCGGAAUUUCCAGUGUAGCAGUGAAAUGCGUAGAUAUUGGAAGGAACACCAGUGGCGUAAGCGGCUAUCUGGACGAGUAUUGACGCUGAGGCACGAAAGCGUGGGGAUCAAACAGGAUUAGAAACCCUGGUAGUCC